CCGAGUGAGGGUUCCUGUCACGGGCCCGACCUCCCACCCUGUGUCUACCACACCUUGUCGUUGCUUCGGCGGACCGGUUGGACCACCCUCCUCUCGUGGGGGGGGCGGUCACGACCGCCGGGGGUGCUUCACCCCGGGAGAGCGUCCGCCGAUGGCCUCACCACAACUCUUUGUCCCCAAACCGGUCGUCUAAAGAAUUACUUGAUAUGAAUCAAACACA
rnacentral:misc_RNA from 1 species